ensembl:misc_RNA Y_RNA Y RNA
AGUUGGUCCCAGUGCAGUGGUAUUUACAACCAGUUACAGGCUUAUUUGUUCCUUCUCCACCCUCAUUGCUUCACUUGACUAGCCUGAA